rnacentral:rRNA from 1 species
AAACCAGCACCUCAAGUGGUCAGGAUGAUUAUUGGGCCUAAAGCAUCCGUAGCCUGCUCUGUAAGUUUUCGGUUAAAUCUGUACGCUCAACGUACAGGCUGCUGGGAAUACUGCAGAGCUAGGGAGUGGGAGAGGUAGACGGUACUCGGGAGGAAGUGGUAAAAUGCUUUGAUCUCUCGAUGACCACCUGUGGCGAAGGCGGUCUACCAGAACACGUCCGACGGUGAGGGAUGAAAGCUGGGGGAGCAAACCGGAUUAGAAACCCGGGUAGUCC